rnacentral:sRNA from 1 species
CAGUUUCGAUCUGUUGGGGACAAAUAAAAUGAAUGUGGCUAUCAAUUCCCCCUGCGGUAAGAAUAUGCCCUUCCCCUGCUAAAAUCUCCGUUGCAGGACCAAUAAUAAUAUCUACAUUGUCUUGAAUAUAAGGAUUUCCAGCUUUACCGAUUUUAAAAAUCUUACCGUCUUUAAUACCAACAUCCCCUUUAACAAUGCCCCACCAAUCUAAAAUCAGGGCAUUAGUAAUUACUAGAUCUACCGCCCCUUCUUCUCUAGAAAUCGGAGAUUGUCCCAUGCCAUCACGAAUUA